rnacentral:tRNA from 1 species
UCGCCCGCGUCGGUCAGCCGGCGGGCGAGGUCGGUGAAGUCGUCCCAGCUCCAGCCGGGCUCGGGCAGUUCGACACCGGCCCGGGCGAA